UACGUAGGGGGCUAGCGUUGUCCGGAUUUAUUGGGCGUAAAGAGCGUGUAGGCGGCCAGAUAGGUCUGCUGUGAAAACUCGAGGCUCAACCUCGAGAUGUCGGCGGAAACCAUCUGGCUAGAGUCCGGAAGAGGAGAGUGGAAUUCCUGGUGUAGCGGUGAAAUGCGCAGAUAUCAGGAAGAACACCCGUGGCGAAGGCGGCUCUCUGGGACGGUACUGACGCUGAGACGCGAAAGCGUGGGGAGCGAACAGG
rnacentral:rRNA from 1 species